AUUCUGCCCAAGCGGGGAAGGAUGAGAAGCUUCGACCAAGGUUCGACUGGAGCGCCAGCGAGAGAGCGUUGCCGCAGGCAACGACCCGAAGGGCGAAGCGCGCAGCGCUGAGUAAUCCUUCCCCCACCACCA
rnacentral:sRNA from 1 species